GACGUCAAAUCAUCAUGCCCCUUAUGAUUUGGGCUACACACGUGCUACAAUGGACAAUACAAAGGGCAGCGAAACCGUGAGGUCAAGCCAAUCCCAUAAAGUUGUUCUCAGUUCGGAUUGUAGUCUGCAACUCGACUACAUGAAGCUGGAAUCGCUAGUAAUCGUAGAUCAGCAUGCUACGGUGAAUACGUUCCCGGGUCUUGUACACACCGCCCGUCACACCACGAGAGUUUGUAACACCCGAAGCCGGUGGAGUAACCAUUUUGGAGCUAGCCGUCGAAGGUGGGACAAAUGAUUGGGGUGAAGUCGUAACAAGGUAGCCGUAUCGGAAGGUGCGGCUGGAUCACCUCCUUU
rnacentral:rRNA from 1 species